rnacentral:rRNA from 1 species
UACGGGGGGAGCAAGCGUUGUUCGGAUUUACUGGGCGUAAAGGGCGCGUAGGCGGCCUGUUAAGUCGAACGUGAAAUCCCCGGGCUCAACCCGGGAACUGCGUCCGAUACUGGAAGGCUUGAAUCCGGGAGAGGGAUGCGGAAUUCCAGGUGUAGCGGUGAAAUGCGUAGAUAUCUGGAGGAACACCGGUGGCGAAGGCGGCAUCCUGGACCGGUAUUGACGCUGAGGCGUGAAAGCCAGGGGAGCAAACGGG